CCCUUAGAUGUUCUGGGCUGCACGCACGCUACACUGUCGGAUUCAGCGAGUCAUAUCCUUAACCGAAAGGUUUGGGUAAUCUUUUGAAAGUCCGACGUGAUGGGGAUUGAUCAUUGCAAUUAUUGAUCAUGAACGAGGAAUUCCUAGUAAGCGCGAGUCAUCAGCUCGCGUUGAUUACGUCCCUGCCCUUUGUACACACCGCCCGUCGCUACUACCGAUUGAAUGGUUUAGUGAGAUCUUCGGAUUGGCGCCUACGCGGCUUCUCUGAGGCCACGCUGGAUGCCGAAAAGUUGCUCAAACUGUAUCAUUUAGAGGAAGUAAAAGUCGUAACA
rnacentral:rRNA from 1 species